CUCCCAGCGCCCUUGCCCCCCCGCCGGGACCUCCCUUCCAGCAACAAAGCGCGGCUGCGGUUUCAGCCCCUUCCCGGUUCCGAGCGUAGCCGCCAGGGGCUAGAACUCGGCCCCCCGCUUCCCCGUCUCCGGGCGCUUCUUCCUGCAGCCAAAAGAGCCCCCCAGAAGCAUCAUCGCACGCGGGGAGCCUCCUACCAGCCUGAGCUGAGGGAGGGGGAUAGGCGCGCGCACCAGAUCUUCAAAGAUCAAAAGUUAGGGGAGCCCCACUCGCUGGGGACGGGAGCCUCGGAGAGCGCCGGGGCCCGAGCGCCGCCCCCAGCCAGGGAGCCGCACACACAGCGACCCUCCAAUCUCAGCUGCUGGCGGCGGCAGCGCGGGAGCCCUCACCCUUCCCUUUCCGGAAAUCGGCGGCUUGUAUUCAGGGAAGUCCGAACCAGAGCGGUGCGUGAAGCCCCGCACGGGCCGGCCGGCUGGGGCUGGGAGCGAGCGCGGCAGGGUGGGCUUGCGGGAGGGCAGAACGAGUGGCUCAGUGUCGGGCGCUGUCUGCUUUCCCACGUGCUUUCUCGGAAUACAAGCGAGGCGAGCACUACAGCUCGAGCGCGUCAUUAUUGUAGCAACAUUUUGGUAACUGUCAUAAGUAUCAGUGCCCAGGGUGUUACUGUCUUGUAACUGGUUUUGAUCACGUGUACAUGCCAGGCAAGGGAGGAGUGCGCUGUUCGGAAGGAAACAUUUGAAACAAAACUUUGAAAGAAUCUUUGUUCAUAAGGGAUGGCAAAGUGAAGGACAGCCACCUUUGUUCCAUAAAAUUUAUUAAAACGUUGCAAUUUGCCGUUUUUCCUUGACAGCCUUUUUUUGUUACUCUUGUUGCCUUGCAAGUGGACUUUAGAUCAGGAAAAAUCGGCUUUCCUCCACUCUCUGUAUUCCUUUUCUCUGCACUGGAGCACUGCAGUUCCCCCAAAACAAGUCAUCUUUGCUCCAUCCUGGGUGCUUUCUUAUCUGUCGGAGAGGCUCCGCUGGUGUGUAGAGGGUGCUCCUGAAGGCCACAUCUCUGAAAGCACAAUAAACAAUACACAGAAGCGUGAUCGUUAAGUUCACUCACAGCAUUGAAACAUUUCAGUAAAAUAUAUCUCUGGUAACAUAACAAAUCACUUUCUCACUGACCUUUGGCAAGCACAAACCUUGGCGAACACCCCAAGCCUGGUGGGGGUCAUUGUAGCAGAUAUCUCACUGCAGAGGGAAGCAGGGGUACAUCUACUACAUCCUUGUGGCUUCUGCCCUGGUCCUUACGCUGCUCGCCUCUUUGCCACAUUGAUCCCUGCACAAGUGAUUGCCACGUGGCAUGGAAAAGUUUCCUAUGAUGGGAGAAGGAAUAAAGCGGCUCUGCCCAGGAACCUUUAGCGGGGGAUUGCCGAGUACCUCCAAGAAAGUUUUCUACAGAACUUGGAGUGCAUCAACAUCUUGUUCCGCCGUACUGAUUAGGAGCACAGGGAAGUGUCCAGUGCACAGAAACACAGCAAGCCUUGUAUAUUUCUGUACCCUGAACCCAGCUCUGCACUACACAAACCCCUUUCCCAGUGUCUCCUCUCCUGCUUCUUGUUCGCUGGAGAGCAACUGCUGAAACUGACUAGUCUCCUCUGGAGUGGUGAACAGUUCCUGGCUGCCUUCCCCACUGGAUGACCCGCCAUGGGCUCAAAAUCAUUGUCUAACUCCACCUCUUCAUCAACAAUUUUGUCCUCUGGGUUAGGUCCUCUUUCUGCUGCCGCCUCCAGGCUCGCCGAAGUAUCCAUGGGAUUCUUAGUGGUGGAGGUGGGGUCAUCGCUGAGGAAAGCAUCCAGCUCCUUAUAAUACUGGCGGGUCUUGGGUGCCGCACCAGAGCCACGGUUUUCCUCCCUCACUUCCUGGUACACCUGCCUCAGUUUCUUUAUCUUCACUAUGUACUGCACUGUGUGUUGGUCAUACCGCUUUUUGCACAAAUUUCAAGAAAUCUGCCUGUAGAUAUAGAAAUUCCUAUGGCUGAAGCGCAGCUGGGACUGCACAGCCUCCCUCUCCACAAAUAUUGAGCAGAGCCAACAGCUUCACAGUGGUCCAAGUGAGAGUGUUUGGUGCAUGAGGCUGCCGUGGUCACCUGGGAAGAUGCGAUGAGACCUCUCCAUGCCAAGCAAACAGGAAAUGGAAAUUCAAAAAUUCCUGGGGCUUUAAAGUGCGAGGGACGGGUGGUUGUUUACCUGGCUGCAGGGCAACAGAGUUCAAACUGCUGACCAGAGCGGUCAGGAUGGGCAUUGUGGGACAUCUCCUGGGGGCCAAUUAAAGUGGUAAAAUCAAGCACAAAGUCUACACUGGUAUUUGUUGACAAAACUUUUGUGCAUAAAGCCUUAUGUUUCUCAUUGGGGUGGUUUUAUUUUGUCGCCAAAACAGAGCAUUUUUGAUGCCAAAAGUCACAUUGUAGUGUAUAUGCAUCCACUGUUUUGUCGACAAAACUCUGUAGUGUAGAUGAGCCUCAGUUUGUACUGUCUUUCUUCCCUGGUUAACACUUACUUAACUUCACAGAUAAAAAGGUUUCUUUGUUCUUCAGUAAUGCCCCAGUACUGCGCCAUUGGGACUUAUACAGUAGUAACAGAUUCAGAAAGGCUCAACUUGUCAAUUAGAAUUUGGUUUGAGCUAGUCAACAUUCACAGAUGCUCUUGCUCCUGAACCCCUUAAGUGCUUUUUUUCAGUCAUACUAUAUCAACCUCAUGAUCUAGAAAGAAUGAACUACUCUAUAU